CUGGCGGCUCGCUUGCGAGGCAUUUCUCUUGAAUUCGAAUAUUUCGAAGAUUUGACAUUUUUAAGUGAAACGUCUUCGCAAAGAGUAGGAAGAAGAUUUUUACUUUUACUGUUGUGUUGCUGCAGCCUCUAAUGAUCACUACGAGGAGCUGAAAACUAAUUGAAAAAAGAAAUCCAAACCCUAUUCCUGACGCUACAAUGGCCUUAAACUCUUUGUACGAUAUAUGAAGAUCAAAUUUUAAAGCUUGAAGACGUCAUAAUUGCUUAGACGUGUAAAAUUUCACACUAAUUCUUUGCUCAACUAAUUCCGACAUGCUGAAAUUCACAGAAUUCGGGUUAACUGAGUUGGGGUUGGUACUGCGCCAAAAUAAACUAGUCUCGCAUCUGUCUAAAGACGGUCACAGACUGUGCAAGGAAUACAGACAAGUGGACCAACAAAAGUUGGCAGGGAAUGCGUUAAUCAAUGCUUUACUGCUUUCGACGUCAACUCAAGCCCGUGGAAAUUUUCAAUGACCAAACUGACUCUCCAUCUCU